UUUUUCUUUAGGAGACAGUCUGGUGUUAAAACUUCUUUUCACUGUCUUGUGAAACUGUUAAAUUAUUUUGUAAAAAUCCACCUACAUAUAUCAGAAUAGGCACAAAAACAAAAAAAGCGCACGGAGCCAGAGGGCAGGGAUUAAUUUUCUUUGUCCAGCCUACACUGUAAAUGAGAAAACAUCACAUCACUGAGAGGAACGAUGAAGGAAACAUCUCUGCAUUGUCUGCUCUUUCUGAUCUCAGUGCUGAGCUGCACAACAAACCAAGUGAAGCAGUGGGCGGCCACUAAGAAGGCACCGGGGGAGCAGUGUUUAGGGACAGUACCUUGGCUCAGGGGUACAUCAGGGUAGCCGUUCAGUGGAUUGGAACCCCCAACCCUUCUGAUCAUGGAGUGACCACUCUACCUACUGAGCUAUCCCUGCCCCUAAAAAUCUAAGGGUUUGUAAUUAUGUCAGUUUUGAUGACGACAAAAAUAAUCAUCCACUUUUCAUUUUAACCCUCACAGCUCGUCUGACUGAGAGUCCCAGGAGCUCUCAGUUCUUUCAAGGAGACUUUGUGUCUCUGAGCUGUGAGGAGGACGACAGCUCUGCUGGAUGGACUCUGAGGAGAAAUACAAGCAAACGACAGAGGACUCAGUGUGGAGAUGGGUGGGGAAGAUCAGCCAGUUCUUCCUGUGACAUCAAUGUUUUCCCAUGGGACAGUGGCGUUUACUGGUGUGAGUCCAGAGAGGGUCCCAUCAGUAACAUGGUUAACCUGACAGUCACUGGUGGAUCAGUGAUCCUGCAGAGUCCUGUCCUCCCUGUGAUGGAGGGAGAUGACGUCACUCUG